CAGCCGCCACGGUAAUACAGAGGGUGCAAGCGUUAAUUGGAAUUACUGGGCGUAAAGCGCGCGUAGGUGGUUUGUUAAGUUGGAUGUGAAAUCCCCGGGCUCAACCUGGGAACUGCAUCCAAAACUGGCAAGCUAGAGUAUGGUAGAGGGUGGUGGAAUUUCCUGUGUAGCGGUGAAAUGCGUAGAUAUAGGAAGGAACACCAGUGGCGAAGGCGACCACCUGGACUGAUACUGACACUGAGGUGCGAAAGCGUGGGGAGCAAACAGGAUUAGAUACCCCCGUAGUCCCUGUCUCUUAUAC
rnacentral:rRNA from 1 species